AUGUGGAGCUAUUUUAAGCCUUUGUUGUUUUUUCUAAUGAUUCCCCUCACCUCUAGUGCAACAGCUACAGGUACAGUGAGAAGAGUCUCAGUGCCUGAGGAGCAUCGCCUGUACCUGGCCUGCAGUGGCACUGUUGACUUACAGUGGCGACACCAGGUCAACAGGAUCAUAGUCACCAAACAAGGCCAGUCGGUUAAUUACAUGAACCAACAGAAAUAUGACCUCCGGCCUGAUGGAUCUCUGGUUAUUAAAGAGCUGGAGACAUCCGACUCUGGGAACUACCACUGCAACGACCAGCUAGUGGCAGACGUGGAGGUACUGAAAGGCAAAAACUUUGAGGUUUCUGCUGGCCGAGCCCUAUUGCUUCCCUGUACAGUAUCUAGCAAAGCCAAGCAGAGGUGGUACUUCAGGAAAGAUAGUCAUGUGAAACGAGAACCCAUCUCGACUCUGUUCAAAAAUGGGACCGUGAAAAUGGAGAAAAAGGACCCCCAGAAAAGGUUUUCUUAUGAUGAAGAUGGUGCCCUGCAGAUCCUCAAUCUGCAGCCAGGGGACUCUGGAGAGUACCUGUGUAAUGGGGAAAAGGUAGCCAAAGUAACGGUGUUGACAGAUCAUCUCAACAUCCAGAGUACCACUGCUCUUAUGCAAACAGAUGUUGUUGGGAGAGAGAACAGAGAGACACGCCCUAUAAAUGUUGUGAUGAUAAUAGCUGUCAUUGGACUAUGCAUUGUGGUGCUUCUGGCUGGUCUGCUGUGCAAUUUGCUGAAAGGAAGACUGAGAAAAAGAAUAAAGAAAUGCAGUACAGUGACAGGACACAAGCAGGAAGGAACUGAACUCCAGACUAGGUGCUUGUCAAAUCUAGGGUCUGAAAUCACACAAAGUGAUGGGGAAGAAAGCCCUUCUCAUGUGGAAGACACUGAGGUUCAGUAUGCAUCUCUGGGUCGGCAGAACUGGAGGGAAAGAUCGAGGGUACAGGGAGACCAGCAUCAGGUCAUCUAUUCCACUGUGGUCUCUGCUAGACCAGCAUUCCAGGGUUUGGAGAGAAUAACACAUUGAUUUGACUGAUUGACUCCUUUACAAAACAGUUCGUAUUUUACCUCUUUGUAUUACAGUUCGAGUACAUUUUACAAAGGUUGCUCUUUAAUCUUAUAAUAAAUGUAUUUGAGUCUUUCAAGAUACGCAAGAUACUAUUCUUUUAUCUAACUAAUUCUAUAUCCUGUUGGCUUAAAACAAUUAUAUUGAGAUUCUUUGGAUACAUUUUUUUUUAUUACAUUAGCUUUUUCAACAUUUACAGAAACACUCAUACAUACACAAAUCAAAAUACAAUCUUAUUUCCAUCAAGAACAGAUAUUCAGAGAACAAUGUCAGCAGAUGCACCAUGCGCCUGAAUGAACACAUUGGGCCACUGUUGUAUAGAUAACAUCUCCCUGGGCCAAUCCUGGCACUCCCUGAGCAAUGGGGCGGGCCUUACCAGUGUGCUUCAUACUGGCAUAGUGUAGACUCACUUCCUUAUGAUAUAUAUAUAUCAGUGUUAGUGAUUAAAUAUUGACUUCAUGCCAUCCAAACCUCUCAGUUAUAGAUUUACAGUUAGACAAGGUUUAGUCCUAACGAUUAUGACUAAGAGAAGUACUUUUACCUUGAGACUUGAAUUCCUGUUCACACAGGUGCUACACAAAUAUGUUUUACCUGAAAGAGGAAACAAUUCUUAGAGGCAAUCUGCAGUUCAAACAAUAACAAAUGGUUUAUCCCGCCAUUGUUUGGGUAAAUAGCUGACCAAUGGGGCUGAAGAAAUAGAACCACUCUUAAAUUCAUAGACAGCACUAUUGAUGCAAGGACUGACCAUCCAUGAGAUCAAAAUGAUAGCUUUAAUCAUGUUUUAACAACCCUGGAUUUAUAAGCGAGGAUAUCGACUACAAUGUUUUGAGAAUAUAAAAACAAGAUUAUAAAUUGGGGUUAUAAUUGGGGUUUUGAAAUCAAAAGCAUUUAAAUAACUGCAGAUUUGCAAAAGAUAAAGGGACAUUACAAAAUAAAAGUUUAAGUAAACUAUUUACAAGUCUUAAGCGUUUACAUUCACUUCUGUUUUUGCUGCUAUCAUUCAACCACAACAAUAAUGGGGAUGAUCAAGAUUUGUUCACUACAUUACAUUUUACAUUUACAUUUAAGUCAUUUAGCAGACGCUCUUAUCCAGAGCAACUUACAAAUUGGUGCAUUCACCUUAUGAUAUCCAGUGGAACAACCACUUUACAAUAGUGCAUCUAAAUCUUUUAAGGGGGGGGGGGUUAGAAGGAUUACUUUAUCCUAUCCCAGGUAUUCCUUAAAGAGGUGGGGUUUCAGGUGUCUCCGGAAGUUGGUGAUUGACUCCGCUGUCCUGGCGUCGUGAGGGAGCUUGUUCCACCAUUGGGGUGCCAGAGCAGCGAACAGUUUGGACUGGGCUGAGCGGGAACCGUGCUUCCUCAGAGGUAGGGGGGCCAGCAGGCCAGAGGUGGAUGAACGCAGUGCCCUUGUUUGGGUGUAGGGCCUGAUCAGAGCCUGAAGGUAUGGAGGUGCCGUUCCCCUCACAGCUCCGUAGGCAAGCACCAUGGUCUUGUAGCGGAUGCGAGCUUCAACUGGAAGCCAGUGGAGAGAGCGGAGGAGCGGGGUGACGUGAGAGAACUUGGGAAGGUUGAACACCAGACGAGCUGCGGCGUUCUGGAUGAGUUGUAGGGGUUUAAUGGCACAGGCAGGGAGCCCAGCCAACAGCGAGUUGCAGUAAUCCAGACGGGAGAUGACAAGUGCCUGGAUUAGGACCUGCGUCGCUUCCUGUGUGAGGCAGGGUCGUACUCUGCGAAUGUUGUAGAGCAUGAACCUACAGGAUCGGGUCACCGCCUUGAUGUUAGUGGAGAACGACAGGGUGUUGUCCAGGAUCACACCAAGGUUCUUAGCACUCUGGGAGGAGGACACAAGGGAGUUGUCAACCGUGAUGGCGAGAUCAUGGAACGGGCAGUCCUUCCCCGGGAGGAAGAGCAGCUCCGUCUUGCCGAGGUUCAGCUUGAGGUGGUGAUCCGUCAUCCACAGUGAAAUGUCUGCCAGACAUGCAGAGAUGCGAUUCACCGCCUGGUUAUCAGAAGGGGGAAAGGAGAAGAUUUAUUGUGUGUCGUCUGCAUAGCAAUGAUAGGAGAGACCAUGUGAGGAUAUGACAGAGCCAAGUGACUUGGUGUAUAGCGAGAAUAGGAGAGGGCCGCGUGGUGCGGAGACAGAUUCUCGCCACGCCACCUGGUAGGAGCGACCUGUCAGGUAGGACGCAAUCCAAGCGUGGGCUGCGCCGGAGAUGCCCAACUCGGAGAGGGUGGAGAGGAGGAUCUGAUGGUUCACAGUAUCAAAGGCAGCAGAUAGGUCUAGAAGGAUGAGAGCAGAGGAGAGAGAGUUAGCUUUAGCAGUGCGGAGAGCCUCCGUGACACAGAGAAGAGCAGUCUCAGUUGAAUGCCCAGUCUUACAUCUACACUGAGUGCCCAAAACAUUAUGAACACCUGCUCUUUCAUUUUUUACAUUUAAUCAUUUAGCAGAUGCUCUUAUCCAGAGCGACUUACAGUAGUGAAUGCAUACAUUUCAUACAUUCUUUCCCGUACUGGUCCCCCGUGGGAAUCGAACCCACAACCCUGGCGUUGCAAACACCAUGCUCUACCAACUGAGCCACACGAGACCACGCCAUAGACCGACCAGGUGAAUCCAGGCGAAAGCUAUGAUCCCUUAUUGCGUUUACCUGUUAAAUCCACUUCAAUCAGUGUAUAUGAAGGGGAAGAGACAGGUUAAAGAAGGAUUUCUAAGCCUUGAGACAUGGAUUGUGUUUGUGUGCCGUUCAGAAUGUGAAUGGACAAGACAAAAUAUUUAACUGCAUUUGAACGGGUUAGAACUGCUACUCUGCUGGGGUUUUCACGACAACAGUUUCCCGUGUGUAUCAAGAAUGGUCCACCACCCAAAGGACAUUCAGCCAACUUGACACAACUGUGGGAAGCAUUGGAGUCAACAUGGGCCAGCAUCCCUGUGGAAUGCGACCGACACCUUGUAGAUUCCACGUCCCAACGAAUUGAGGCUGUUCUGAGGGCAGAAGGGGGUGCAAGUCAAUAUUAGGAAGGUGUUCCUAAUGUUUUGUACAGUCAGUGUACGUUUACCGUACGCAAUCUUGUUUUUCCAGUCACUGCAACAGAAAGUGAAAGUAAAAAUUACAUUUCACAGCACAGUCUAUGUAUAAGUGAAAUUACAAGAGCAGACGCCUUCGUGUCUGAUCACACACGGGAAGGAUUAUUCUGCUCUCUGUGAAGUCUUCUUACUGUAAAUGUUUUCGAGAUUUCUAACUCUCACCAUGACAAACGUAAAUCUCAUCUUGGAGGCUCUGUCUGCUGUCUCAGGUUGCAAAGUGGAAUCAACCACCGCGGGAACACUUUCACUAACCCCACAGGACUUUGUCAAUGUGGUCGCACUAAAGGAGUUCUACGUACAAGAGGGCCUUCUAGAGUUGGAGUACCCAAGUUUGGGGACAUUGUCUUUAAAAGGUGCCUUAGCUUUACCAGAUGCCCCAUCCGCCGCAUCCAUUCCACAAACCACUGUUUCUGUGAACGUGAAAGAGUUUCUUGAUUCUCGGUAUGACUACGACUUUACAAAUGUUAAGGAUGGUGAAGGAGUGUUUACUCGGGGAAAGGAGCAGUACGUCCGACCCUGUGGCUGGAACCGCAUUGCCCUGAAGGUGUUGAACAAAUACAGGGAUGGAGAUGGAUGGUUGGGGACCGGAGACGAGGCCUGGCCAGUGUCCUACCACGGACCUGCUAUGGACGGAUCCCAGGGCAUCAUCAGGAAAGAUGGAGAUGGUGCUACUGUCGGAAGAGGAGUGUACUCAACACCGGACAUUAACGUAGCUGAGAAGUUCUCCAAGAGAUUCACGUCCAAAGUAGAUAACAAAACCUACAAGGUGGUGCUACAGAAUAGGAUCAACCCCCAGAAAAGGCAACAGUGUCGGAGAGAGAGUUACUGGCUGGUUUAUGUGCCUGAGGGAUCAUCUCCUGUUCAAGAGAGAGCUAUUGUGGAAAACUCCAUUCGUCCUUAUGGUCUGCUGCUUAAGGAAGUAUUGUAAUCCAGGCAGACAAUGUUUGAUAGAUAAGUAAAUAGGUUUGCCUUAAUCAUACACAAUAUGAUCAGAAAAUGAACAGAUGUAACAUCAGAUCAAUACAAUUCUAAAUCAACUAAGUAACAAGGUUAAUUUGUUAUAGUCAUAGGAUUAACAUAAGAUUGCUUGAGAUGUUUGCGGUGUAAAUGUUGCCUUUACCUGAUAGGCUACUAUUAUGCAUGUGUUCAAGUCUUAAAAUAAGAGUGCAUUGUUUAGUUACAUUAUACUUUAUUUCCAGUGACCCCGCCUUAUCUAACCACAUAUUUUCAAACAGUUGUUUUGGGAAAAGAGUGCUUUAUAAGUACAUAUAACUCCAAAAUGUAAGUUUGGACGACGCUGAAAACCACUUCACUAUUGAAAAGCUGUAGUCACAGCAACAAUACAGCAACAAUAUACUUCACUGCCACCUAGUGGUACUCUUAUGGUA
rnacentral:tRNA from 1 species